AAAAAAACAGAGGGAGCAGUGUUUAUUCAGUCCAGAGGCAGGUAUAUUCUUCUCAACUCACGUUUCUAGGGUUCAUCUGGUCAUCGAAGGUCUAAAUCUGUGUACCAUCAAUGGUGAUUCUGAAAUUGCGUGUGCGUAGACGUUUCAUCAGUAAUCUACAAGUCGAUGGUGUCUGUUCAUGUCGGUCUCUAUUCUUAACCUCGGAACCGUUACAAAUCGAAUUGAUUGAACAUCAUUAAUGAAAGCUUAAUUCUUCAUGCCCGCUACAACCACGUUCUUGCAUUCAGUGAUUCUUAUCCUUCAUCAAAGAGGUGAUUCUCAGAUUCUCACCUAUAAAAAGGCUGGGCAUUGUUCUUCCAUGGUGGGGGUGCGGUUGCUCAGAUUCUGCGAACUAAGGUUGUUCCGCUCUUGGAACACAUGAUCAAUAGUUUUUUUAAACAGAUCCCGGCUUAAAAUCUACAAAUUUAUGUUUUUUCAGUUUUAAUACUUUCAGUUCAGUUUGUUGAAUAGGUUUUCCUGGCUACGCUCGUUAGAUCUUUUGUUGCAGUUGAUGAAUUAGAUUCCAACAAUCAAAAGCGUUGUAUCAAGACUGAUCCUGAAACAGAAGCUAUUAGACAUAGUAGAAAGCAAGAUCUGAUGGUUCGACAUGGCACUAUAUUUCUUAUAACCUUCACCUAUGGAAACCAUGACAAUCAUCAUAGUCCAGAACAAGAGGGAACACCAGAAGAUGCUAAAAGGGAAACUUAUAAACAUUAACAAAUGAUGCUUAGUCAAAUGUUGUCUUCCCAAGCCCGAGAAAGAUGUAAGACCCAUCUCAAAUGCUUUGGAGUUCAUCUACUUUUUCUUCUUUUGUUUUUUUAUUUAUUUGAAUUGUAGCUUUAUCCGUGGUAUAUUUUUAACUGUUGCAUUGAGAUUUUGUAAAUUGAGGGUCGAGGGACGUGGCAACAAAUCUGCUGCUGUGAACUAAUCGAGGGACGUGGCAAAUCAGUAGUUUGUGAGGCAGUAAUCAGAGGAGAGAUCAUGAACAAGGCUCUCUAGGUGCAUUCAACUCUCACGCCAGCAAUAUAGUCCUUGAUUUUUUCAUAGCUAUUUUCCAAGAUUCAGCUCAAAACGUGGAGAGCUCUGAGUUCAUCACAUCACAAUGAUGGAAGCCAUUAAUGGGAAAGAUAUCCAUAUCUCUAUCAUUACGCCAACUAUUGAGGUUGGGACAGUGGGAGGAGGAACACAGCUUCCGUCUCAAUCGGCGUAGUUGCACAUGCUAGGCAUCAAAGGAGCGACAACAACAUGAUCUGAAUCUUGCCUUUUCAAAAAGAUUGAGCAUUUCAACAGUGUGGGGAACAUAGGGCGUCCAAGUCUGCACCAUCGCCUUUUCAAGUUGGAGGAAGCAAGAGCAUGUAAAUUUAUACAUUCCAAGACCAAAUCUAAAAGCAACUAAAUUUGGAUCAUGUAUGAAUACCCUUUGAAUAUCUACUCAUCGCAAAAGAAAAAAAUUAUUUCAAAAAUACUGUUGUUAGUUU